rnacentral:ribozyme from 13 species
UGGAAGGUUUGUGUGCAUCUUGUUCACAGAAUAUAAAAAAAAAACUAUAAACAGUCUACAUCCAUAAUAAAUGUUGUGGAAGAAGGGGAAUAAAGAAAAGAGUUAUCACAUUUUUUUGUUUUUACAAAAUAAUAUCCACUUCUUUC